UAUGUACUUUUGUAGUCGAUUCGUUAUGCAUGCAAAAAGCGUCUGUGUGUAGUUGUAAAUUGAAGUAGACAUUUUUAGAUUAUGGCCAAGAAUACACAAAUUCGUAAAUUGUAAAUUUUGUUUGUUAUGAGGAAAAUAUAACAUUAUAUUGGGAAGAUAUUAUUUUGAUAUUUUCAAUCCUUUUUCUUCGAAUGCUUCAAUCAGAAAAAAAUUAAUGUUAUCGAAGCAAGCUUACAUGCAUACAUACAUAUAUACGCAAGGGAUACCUUUUCUGUAUACAUACACAGUGACGAUUGAUUUACGGAUAGAUAAAAGGGUCCACUCGAUUCACGUUAUUUUUCAAUGUGAUUCCAACACAUUCGUCAUUUCACCAAUCAGUUUGUCAACAAUAUAUUUUCCUGGUUAUUUUGUUAGAAAAAUCGUAAGAACUUAAGUGACAUCAGUGGGACCGUUGACGCAAUACUAGGGAAAAUCAACUAACGCUAAUGGAAAAACUACUGCUUUCAGGAUUUAAAAUAAAAAGUACACCAUUAUAAUUUAAACAACUACAAUUUGUAAAUAACUUAAUAUAAAUUUUAAAUCUAAAUUUUAAAUCAAUCGAAAAUUAAAUGAUAUUGAAAAUGA